ensembl:lncRNA
AGGCCCCCUCACCGGGCAAGUUCAUGCUCUCCCCCCUCACGUGGCCCCAGGCUCUCAGUCUUGGGCUGUGCUGCCGGCCGCUGUUCCGGGCCAGCCCAUCAUCACGGGCAAUGGACCUCAGAUUCCGUCUCUCGUCCCUGGGGCUGAUCACAAAGGGCCCCUCCUCGGGUUCCUGCCUGCUUUCUCCUCCCCAGUUUUGGCUUCCCUGCUCUGCCUUCUGCUUUGCCCAAGGUUUCUCUGCGUUCCUCAUUGAACAGCUGAAGCUGAAGCUCCAGUACUUUGGCCACCUGAUGCAAAGAGCCGACUCAUUGGAAAAGACCCUGAUGCUGGGAAAGAUUGAGGGCAGGAGGAGAAGUGGGUGACAGAGGCUGAGACAGUUGGAUGGCAUCACCAAAUCAAUGGACAUUGAGUUUGAGCAAACUCUCAGAGAUGGAAUCUCACGGUAAUGAAGCCCAAGAACAAUGUGUUACCUGACAUGCUUUGUGUGGGGUGUGAUGGAAAAUGGAAGAUGAAGAAGAUGAGCAAAAGUGGAGAUAAAAGAACAUUGGAGUCACUAGAGAGAAUCUUCCGGGCUUCUUUGAGUCCAACAGAGACAGUCUUUUCUCACAAAAACCAGAGAGGUAUAACCUCUCUCCCUCCCAGGAUAGUUGCAGAAAUUAUCUCAAAGAAAGCCCCAUCACAAAAGAAACCACACUGGAUGUGAGAGUUGGACUGAGAAGAAGGCUGAGCACCAAAGAAUUGAUGCCUUUGAACUGUGGUGUUGGAGA